rnacentral:sRNA from 1 species
UUGUUCCAUCAUCACUUG